rnacentral:rRNA from 1 species
GGGGGAUAUUGCGCAAUGGGGGCAACCCUGACGCAGCAACGCCGCGUGAAGGAUGAAGGUUUUCGGAUUGUAAACUUCUUUUAUUAAGGACGAAAAAUGACGGUACUUAAUGAAUAAGCUCCGGCUAACUACGUGCCAGCAGCCGCGGUAAUACGUAGGGAGCAAGCGUUGUCCGGAUUUACUGGGUGUAAAGGGUGCGUAGGCGGCUUUGCAAGUCAGAUGUGAAAUCUAUGGGCUCAACCCAUAAACUGCAUUUGAAACUGUAGAGCUUGAGUGAAGUAGAGGCAGGCGGAAUUCCCCGUGUAGCGGUGAAAUGCGUAGAGAUGGGGAGGAACACCAGUGGCGAAGGCGGCCUGCUGGGCUUUAACUGACGCUGAGGCACGAAAGCGUGGGUAGCAAACAGGAUUAGAUACCCUGGUAGUCCACGCUGUAAACGAUGAUUACUAGGUGUGGGGGGUCUGACCCCUUCCGUGCCGGAGUUAACACAAUAAGUAAUCCACCUGGGGAGUACGGCCGCAAGGUUGAAACUCAAAGGAAUUGACGGGGGCCCGCACAAGCAGUGGAGUAUGUGGUUUAAUUCGAAGCAACGCGAAGAACCUUACCAGGUCUUGACAUCCAACUAACGAAGUAGAGAUACAUUAGGCGCCCUUCGGGGAAAGUUGAGACAGGUGGUGCAUGGUUGUCGUCAGCUCGUGUCGUGAGAUGUUGGGUUAAGUCCCGCAACGAGCGCAACCCUUGCUAUUAGUUGCUACGCAAGAGCACUCUAAUAGGACUGCCGUUGACAAAACGGAGGAAGGUGGGGACGACGUCAAAUCAUCAUGCCCCUUAUGACCAGGGCUACACACGUGCUACAAUGGCGUAAACAAAGAGAAGCGAACUCGCGAGGGUAAGCAAAUCUCAAAAAUAACGUCUCAGUUCGGAUUGUAGUCUGCAACUCGACUACAUGAAGCUGGAAUCGCUAGUAAUCGCAGAUCAGAAUGCUGCGGUGAAUACGUUCCCG